UUUUUUUUUUUUUUUUUUUUGCCAUUUCUUGGGCCGCUCCCAUAGCAUAUGGGAGGUUCCAGGGCUAGGGGUCUAAUCAGAGCUAAUCAUAUACACAUAUAUAUGAAAGUUUAAAAACUGUCAUCAUAUGUAUACAUAUGUGUGUGUGUUUGUAUACACAGAUGCAUAUGUAUACUUACACAUACAUACAUACAUAUAUUUACAUACACACACACACACACACACACACACACACACACACAUAUCUAUGUAAAACAGCAGAGAAGGCCUAUAUGUUGAUGGCACUGAUCCAGGAGAGUGAAAAUUUGUUGAUGAGAUAGAGAAAGAAACAGGGGUGAUUUUCUGUGAUGCGUGAAGCAGGAAGAGGCUCCAGGUCACAAGCCGAGGGAUCUGCUCUGAAAGGAGUAGAGAUGCUCCAGCGGAAGAGUGGAAAGAGAGGCCUGUUGCAGAAGUCGACGUAGGAAGGUGUGCGCAUUUGGUGGUGGCAAGAGGAGGGAGUCCCCAUCUGUUGGCUUCUAUUUUCCCAACCAAGCAUGCAGCUCGGUCAGCAGCAGAGCUGGGAUGGAGAGUGGGGAGGAGGAGGGAGGAAAAGGCACGAUACUUGUGUUGGAGCAGAGCAGGCUAAAAGGAGAAGAGGGCAGGCUUGCUAGGCAGUGUCGAUAGCCCAUUUGCAGUCAGAGGCCAGGAACUGAAAUGAUGCCAGCCUACGUGAGGUGAGGAUUUUCUGCAGCCACUUCCUCUGUGCUGGGGACAGCAUGGAGCAGGAGGAGCCUGGGCGACUGGCUCAAUUCCCCCACCCCACCCCUCCCGCCCUAGACGGUCUGCAGGAACAGAGCCCCAUUUGGUUGUUCUGCUUUCAGCCAGAGGGAAACGUGGAGGUUGCUAUGCACCUUCAAGAUCAAGAACCAGGAUGGGGGCACAGCAGCUUCUCAGGCCCCCAGCAGACACACGAAUCUCCCAGACCACACCUGCUGCCCCCCAAGUCCAUACGCUCUGUGCACGUGCCUGUGAGCCCCUGCUUUAUCCUACCAAGCUGUAACCAAAGUCCCCUGGCCCUCUCUCCACAUUCUGCCAGUGGAUGCCCUGCCCCUCUGCCAGUCAUGCCCGCCUCCCUUUCCCAGGGACACCUUCUUUGGCUCCUGUCCCCAAUCCCAGAGAGAGGGCAACUCCAGGUAGGAUUCCACAGGCAAAGUUCCAGACAUUAGGAUCUGCUCAUGUUACAAUGAGGCGGACAGAUCAGAGAGAAGAGGACAUUUCAAUGAGAGGAAUUUCAAUUUGCCCCAACACCUCCUUCCAGAAUCCACCUAUCAUCACCCAGAAAACCUUAAUAAGUAGAAGAGAGACACCCAGAAGGCAGGAGGACUGAACACUUUACUGGAACCAGAAAGUCAAAUUAGAAAGACAGUCUUUGGGAGUUGCCAUCGUGGCUCAGUGGUAGUGAACCCAACUAGUAUCCGUGAGGAUGUGGGUUUGAUCCCUGGCCUCAGUCAGUGGGUUAAGGAUCUGGCAUUGCCCUGAGCUGUGGUGUAGAGGUUGCCCUUAGGUGGCUGGAUAAAAGGUUAUUUUUCUCCAUUUGUUUACUGCAUUCCUGCAUUCUUCAGUUUUCUUCAGAGAACAUGUAUUACUUUGCAGACCCAAAACCCAAACCCCAAAAUGUCUAAAACCCCAAGACUUCAGGGUGGCAUAGUGCUCAUUUAUCUGGGGCUGCCACAUCCUCCAGGGUAGAGCUGAUCUUGUUUUCUAACAACUGCUACUUUAAUCCUAGUUGUUGAGGUCAGCCUGGGGUUUUCAAAAAGAGGCAUCUACUUGUUGGCAGAAAGGCAGACUAACCAGUUCAGUGAAUGAACGGGCGAAAGGACGGACGGAGAAAAGAACUCAAAAGAAGAGACCCAUGGGGGGUUCUGAGAGGGUGGGGGACAUUCUCCCCACUGUCGCCUCACUAUAAAAAACUGGGUUAUAAAACACUUGUUUUCAUGUUCAGGAUAAAAGCAGAUGACCAAGUCCCUUGAAAGGAAAUGUAGGUCGCCGUUAUUAAAUUCAGUUUUUGAGGGAAACGGCAUUUAAUUGCUCAUUAGCAUACCCCUCAAAGUAGCUUUUAUUGACAUUGAUACUACCUUGAAAAAUAAUUCAAACAAAACAGCUUAAUUUUUUAAGGCUCACCAAUGUUCACUGUACAGAAAGACACUAUAAGCAGGGUCUCUGUGGCAGGAUGUGAUUAAAAAGAAAUUAAUUUUACUCUGCCAUCAGUGAUUUCCCAGUUCCUCCAGGGUCGCCCAGGUCCUGCGGCCUGGCACGUGACUUUCUUCCCAGGCACCGUGCUGCCUGGCGGCUCUGGGUAUUUGCAAAUCCCCCAGGCUGCUGGGUUUGAGCGCUCUGGUUUUGCCCUUGCUGUUUCUUUCCCGGGAAGGCUUCCUCCAUCUCUUGCCCACCGGCUUUCACGCCUUAGCCAGUAUCACCAUCCCCGUGGAGUUUCCCUUCCCUCCCC
rnacentral:lncRNA from 1 species